rnacentral:tRNA from 1 species
UAUUUAUAUAGCUUAAAAAGAGUUUAAUAUUGAAGAUAUUAAGGUAAUCAAUUGAUUUAUAAAUAA